rnacentral:tRNA from 7 species
CAUUAAGUGACUGAAAG